CGUGCAACGCACGUCUCAAUCGACAUCAAAUAAUUGUUAAUAAAUAGUUGUCUAAUAUUUACAUAGUUUUUCAUCCGUACAUAUCUUUAUUACUGAUUUAUAAUGUUUUUCGGAUGGAAGCAAAACUAAAUUACGGAUAAAUAAAGAAUGUGCAAAUUAGUUCAAGAUCAAUAAAUUUAUGUAACUUAUGUUGCUAGUACGGACACCCUAGUAGUCACUUAUUUGCUACUAUUUCUUAGCCAUAUCAUCCUGAUUCUACCCUUUGUCCCAUCAUAGAAAUUGACACAUCACACAUGGCUGCAACAGUCUCAACGUGAUGAAGAGCCAAAUCAGUUUCCUCCUCCGUCUUACACAUGACCUUGCUUCCUGUCAUGUCACAAAAGAAGAAAACAGUCCCUUUCUCUGUAAGAUUGAACAGAGUCAAGCCAUAAAAGAAAAUGGACAAGCUGAUUUUUUCAUCAUGAAAUUUUGUGUUUUGAAAUAGUUACUAAAUAUGUAAUGUUUAGUCCAGCAGCCAAAUGGUUAUACCCCAGAGUUGUUUACAUCAUUGCUUCACUCAUGGUUCAGUGCCAUGAUGGCAUAAAAGAUAUCUUAGAAAAAGCCGGAUACAUAGUAAUGCCUAAUUAACAGAUGGUCAAAGCAAUUAUCAAAAAACAUGAAGAGCAGGUUAACCAUUGUUACAUCCCAAAUCUAUGAGAACAUCUGUAAAUAAUUAUCUGUAAUGGGGUGUUUAGAGUACACCUGCUUUGGUUGUACUGGGGUGUGGUCGAGAGUGGAUGUUCGCAUCCAUUUCGAGGCUUCUUGUACAUUGUAUUUUCUCUCUUUUAUAAAAGUAUGCCUUUGGCGUACUCUCAAAAAAAAAGAAUAUCUGUAAAUUGUAGAAGAAAAUGGCGCAGUUAUGAAAAGAAAACAAAGCUUUAACCUUGGUGUAGUAAAAACUAAAAGGUAACUUAUCCCUACAGUCUAAUAACAGAACAACACAUGAGUAAACAACUUGCUGUUUUCUGUAAAGGGUGAAUUUCAUUGGCAGCAUGUCUGAACUAUCAUAAUAAAAUUAGUCAGGCCUCCUAAAUUUUGUUACUCAAGAAACUAUCUGCAGGUCCCUGAAAUUUUGCUAUGCAUUUUUGGAAGAGAAGAGCACCAUUUCAAAUUCACAAUACUGCGUGAUAGUUUGUUUCUCGAGCCUAAACAAAAGCAAAACUUCCUCUAGACACUUGCUUAAUGUAAGAGCGGAACAAACUUUCAUAAUUUCAAACUGAAGAUUUCAAAGUCAUACACAUGGCAGAUAAUUCAUACUUUAGGAGGAAAUUAGUUUGCCUCCAAAUCCAACAGCAAUCAACAAAAAUACACAUGGAAAAUGGCAUUUAAUAGUACACUGUAAACAGAACACUGAAUGGAUAAUGAUACUAAAAUGUGUUUACAAAGGUCAACAGAAUACAGAUCUUACCAACGAACAAAGAUGAAGUGAUGAACUGACCGGUUUCAGUGAAGUGGCUAAUGUCAUGACCUCGGUUUUCUGCUGAAGCAACUCAUUUUCUCUUUCAGAUAGCUGAACUGCUAAAAUACCCACCUAUGGAAAGUACCAAAAUAUUGAAGUGUUUACAAACAAAGAGAUCAUUUAGGCAUGUAUAUAUAUGUAGGUCGACUGGUGGAGACUUCUUUGAAUAAAAACUCAC
rnacentral:lncRNA from 1 species